UGUUGUUGUCGGUGGUGGUGGUGGUGGUGCAGCACAGGGGAGGGUUCCAGAAGGCUGCUCCAUAACCAAGGAAUUCCUGCCUCUGUAAAGUUCUCUGAUCUUACCUACUGCUAUUUGUACUCCACGACAUACUCCCACAAGUCAACAGUUAUCUAAUUAUCACUGUGGGAUGAACGUUCACAUUAGAAUGAGCAGCAGUUUUUUUUAUUGAACUUUUGGUGCUUCAUGAACACAGGAAGGGAAAUGAUGUGUUCAAAUAUAUCUUGUUUACCGUUGGGGUUUCAUGGCGUAGUGACAGUCUUGGGAACCCAGUGUGUGUGGGAUGCCAGCGGUCAUAUCCCAUACAAAAUACAAUAAAUAAAUAACGUUAUGAAAAUAAUUGACAUCAUAAUUCUUUAAUACAUACUGGCGUGAACAUAAGGUGGUUAAAUAGAGCACCUUUACAAAAAAGAUGGGGAAGAUGGGGAAAUAGACCAACUUUAAAAAAAAGAAAAAGGGCCCUCGUGGCCCAGUGGGUAGAGUGAUGCACUUUGAGUUUGGCGUGAGGGAAGUGAGGGGCGCGUAGGUUCGAACCCCCCUCUCGGAACUCACAAAAACCUUGAAAGAGCAUCCCUCCAUCACCAUGUGUGAUGGAACUGCCCACGGGGAGGAGGGGAGGUGAGUGCGCAGCACCUCCCUACCCCUCCCCAGGGGAGGAAGGCACCGCCUUACCGGCCCCCGGGAGAGCAAGGGAGGUGAGUGCACAGCGCUUCCCUUCUCUCCCCUACCUAACCCUGGCAAGUCUGCGGACUACCAGGCAAAAAAUAAUAAAAAUAAAAAAAAAUAAAAAAAACAAAAAACAAAAAAAAUAAAUAAAUAAAUAAGGGUAAGUGCAUAGCACUUCUCUUCUCUUCACCUAACAGAAUAAAAAAUAUAAAGGUGAGUGCAUAGCACUUCCCUUCUCUUCCAACCUACCAGGCAAAAGAUAGAAAAAAAAAUAAAGAAUUAAGGUGAGUGCAUAGCACUUCCCUUGUCUCCUAACCUACCACGCAAAAAAAAAUAAAUAAAUAAUAAAAUAAAAUAAAUAAAUAAAUAAAGAUAAAUAAAUAAAAAUAAAUAAAAAACCUCCUUACCACCUCGGACCUCGGGAGAGCAAGGGAGGUGAGUGCACAGCACUUCCCUUCUCUCCCCAAGUCUACGGACUGCCAGACCAAAAAGAAUAAAAUAUAUAUAGGUAUAAAAAAUAAUAAAAGUAAUAAAAAAAAGAUAAAUGAAAAAAUAAGUAAAUAAAACAAAAACAAUAAAACUCCUACUCCCCCCUCAAUAAAACUGACUGAGUCUGGCAAUCAACAAUAAAUAAUAAAAAUAAAACAAUACCAACUGACUGACCCUGACAACCCCAAAGACCACCACCCACCUGGGAAGCACGGGAGGUGAGUGUGCAGCACCUCCCUACCCUUCCCAGUCUCCCAGUUUGACUUUGACCACCAAUCUGACUCAUCCUACCAACUCCAAAGAGCAACUCCAACUGUACAGACCACCACCACCACCACCCUUCUGGUCUCGGCAAGGUGAGUGCGUAGCACUUCCCUGGACUGACCCUGACUGACUGACCCUGGCAACUCCAAAAACAACCAACCUGACUGACUUACAGAUAUGUAAUCACCUAACUGACUGGCCCUGGGGAGCAUGGGAGGUGAGUGUGCAGCACCUCCCUACACUUCCCAGUCUCCCAGUUUGACCUGACUCAUCCUGGCAACUUCAAAGAACAACUCCAAAUGUACAGACCAACAGUACCUCCUACUCUGUGUCCCACUCUGACCCUGA